NAACCAACAGGGAUUGCCUUAGUAACGGCGAGUGAAGCGGCAAAAGCUCAAAUUUGAAAUCUGGCACCUUCGGUGUCCGAGUUGUAAUUUGUAGAAGGUAACUUUGGAAUUGGCUCUUGUCUAUGUUCCUUGGAACAGGACGUCACAGAGGGUGAGAAUCCCGUGCGAUGAGGUGCCCAAUUCUAUGUAAAGUGCUUUCGAAGAGUCGAGUUGUUUGGGAAUGCAGCUCUAAGUGGGUGGUAAAUUCCAUCUAAAGCUAAAUAUUGGCGAGAGACCGAUAGCGAACAAGUACAGUGAUGGAAAGAUGAAAAGAACUUUGAAAAGAGAGUGAAAAAGUACGUGAAAUUGUUGAAAGGGAAGGGCUUGAGAUCAGACUUGGUAUUUUGCGUUCCUUCCCCUCGUGGGUUGGUUCCUCGCAGCUUACCGGGCCAGCAUCGGUUUGGAUGGUAGGAUAAUGACAUUGGAAUGUGACACCGCUUCGGUGGUGUGUUAUAGCCUUUGUUGAUACUGCCUGUCUAGACCGAGGACUGCGUCUUUGACUAGGAUGUUGGCAUAAUGAUCUUAAGUCGC
rnacentral:rRNA from 1 species